rnacentral:rRNA from 1 species
GACGAACGCUGGCGGCGUGCUUAACACAUGCAAGUCGAACGGAAAGGCCCCAGCUUGCUGGAGUACUCGAGUGGCGAACGGGUGAGUAACACGUGGGUAAUCUGCCCUGCACUCUGGGAUAAGCCUGGGAAACUGGGUCUAAUACUGGAUAUGACCUUUCUCCUUAUGGGGUUUGGUGGAAAGUUUUUCGGUGUAGGAUGAGCCCGCGGCCUAUCAGCUUGUUGGUGGGGUGAUGGCCUACCAAGGCGACGACGGGUAGCCGGCCUGAGAGGGUGAUCGGCCACAUUGGGACUGAGAUACGGCCCAGACUCCUACGGGAGGCAGCAGUGGGGAAUAUUGCACAAUGGGCGGAAGCCUGAUGCAGCGACGCCGCGUGAGGGAUGACGGCCUUCGGGUUGUAAACCUCUUUCAGCAGGGACGAAGCGUAAGUGACGGUACCUGCAGAAGAAGCACCGGCUAACUACGUG